rnacentral:rRNA from 1 species
CAAAGGCAUGGUCCCGACCUUAUUAUCAGCUUUAACUCAACUUACACAUGCAAGUCUCCGCACCCCAGUGAAUAUGCCCUCAAUCCCCCUACCCGGGGACGAGGAGCGGGCAUCAGGCACAAAUAUUA